CUUUAGCAUUCAAUCUACAUCCAUAGCAUCCAUUGACUGUUUGUCACUGCUUGUAUUAACUGACUCUGUGAUAGUUGCCCAAGAGUAAAUAUCCAUUUCCAUCCUAACUUCUACAUACUGGAAAUUGGCAUUUUGCUGUAAGAAAGAUCCUUCCUUUUCCCUCAUUUAUAUAUUUACCCAAUUAUUUAUAUCAGUGCAUAGUCAUGGAUUUCCAUUGUAUAUGAUGGGCUGUAUUCUCAUACUCUCAUUAUUUAUUUUGUCCUAGAUAUGACCAGAGGAAACUCCUUCAAUCUGCCACAUUUCUAUUAUUGAGCAUUUUCUUACUUUCUGACAAAACAAAAUAUUUCAAGGUCAUCUUGAAUUUUUCUGACAGCAGUCCUGGUACAACCACCAUGUCAAGGAACUCUAGCUUCUUUUAUUGGAAGACUGUGAGAUGGUGUUUGGAUUGCUUGACAUCUUAUUAUUGAACUGUUGAAGUCUGGAAGUGCCUUUUCUCAAUGAGUGUCCUGUUUAUGUCAGAAAUGGGUAAAAGAUGUGGGGAGCAAGCAGCUGUGACCCAACUCACCCAGAACAAUGCCAACUGACCUUGGACUCUGAGAAGUUACUUAGAAUGAACCAGGGGUAUAAUUUAUACCUGAUCUUGACCUCACAUCUUAAGGAUGAGAAGAGGAUAUUUGUUAUAAACAAUAAGCUUUCCCAUUCAGAAAUUACUCCUUAGUAUCUCUACUAUAAACAGGUGGAAGACACUUUGCAUUCACAAACACUAU
rnacentral:lncRNA from 10 species